rnacentral:ncRNA from 1 species
UGAUAGCUGUGAAGCGUGAGGUUGCUGUAACAUAAUUGCAAUAGUAAUAUAGUUACAGGUUUUCCGUGGAGCGAAUGUCAAAGUCAA